UCCGACUGUUUAAUUAAAACAAAGCAUUGUGAUGGACUAAAUAGUUGUUGACACAAUGUGAUUUCUGCUCAGUGCUCUGAAUGUCAAGGUGAAGAAAUUCAAAUAAGCGCGGGUAAACAGCGGGAGUAACUAUGACUCUCUUAAGGUAGCCAAAUGCCUCGUCAUCUAAUUAGUGACGCGCGCGAAUGGAUCAAUGAGAUUCCUACUGUCCCAACUUACUAUCUAGCGAAGCCACAGCUAAGGGAACGGGCUUAGAAAAAUCAGCGGGGAAAGAAGACCCUGUUGAGCUUGACUCUAGUCAGACUUUGUGAAUUGAUGCGUGGGGUAUAGAAUAGGUGGGAGCUGAAAGGCGGACUUGAAAUACCACUACCCGUGACGUUGAUUCGCUUAUUUACUUGAAUAGAAAAGAGAUCAUAUCUCCUAAUUCUUGAACUAAUUGGUAUAUAAUGCUUCUGGUGCUUGGCGACUGUAAAAAGGUUGUCAGGUUGUUCUGGGGGCCUCUGGUGCUGAGAUCUAAUGUAAAAACAUUUUCUGGUGGGGAGUUUGGCUGGGGCGGCUCAUCUGUUAAAAGAUAACACAGGUGUCCAAAGGGAAGCUCAAUAAGAACAGAAAUCUCAUGUAGAGCAAAAGGGUAAAAGCUUCCUUGAUUUGGAUUUCCGACGUAAGAAUACAAACUACGAAAGUAUGGCCUAUCGAUCCUUUAUCCUAUACGUUCAGGAUCUGAAGAUAGAGGUGUCAGAAAAGUUACCACAGGGAUAACUGGCUUGUGGCUGCCAAGCGUUCAUAGCGACGUAGCUUUUUGAUCCUUCGAUGUCGGCUCUUCCUAUCAUCGCGAAGCAGAAUUCGCCAAGUGUUGGAUUGUUCACCCAUAGAAAGGGAACGUGAGCUGGGUUUAGACCGUCGUGAGACAGGUUAGUUUUACCCUACUGAUGAAAGUGUUUUAAAGGGCUGUCAAGACAGUAAUUCGAUUUAGUACGAGAGGAACCAUUGAUUCGGACAUUUGGUAUCGCGUUUAUUUGAACAGAUAGCGACGCAAAGCUAUCGUCCGCAGGAUUAAAGCUGAACGCCUUAAGUUUGAAUCCACUCUAAAAUGACAGUAAUAUCCGGUGAUUGGCUUUGG
rnacentral:rRNA from 1 species